UGGCAAUCUCAAGUCUCCCAUUCCUUUUUCUUUCUUUCGGAGGCCUUGUUGAAAAUCCAAUUCAGCCUCUUCUCAAACUGAUUUUACAUAUCAUUUUCCUCUAUGCCCCAACCCUAGUCCAGCUCAAUCAUAUGAAGAUAGAUCGUAUUAGUCCAGUAUAGGAGUGCAAAGGGAAAUAAUUCUGAAGGUCCCAAGGGACAGGAACACCCCAGAUCCUCUGCAUCCUCCCAGAUAUCUUUAUUUUAACUACCAGGUCGCAGUUUUUGCCAUAGAAGCACGUGGCAGCAGAGAAUUUAUCCUAGGUUGCCACAACUGGAAUGACCAGUUUGGGUCCUGUCAGUGAUCUCAAAUUGCUGACUGCAAUCAGAAAGUGUUUUCUGUACCAGUUACAUGGUAGCCUGAGUUUCCUUAUCUUGUAGCUUACCUCCCUUAUUUGCUUUUGCAUGUUGCUUUAUUCUGCAUUAAACCUUACAGCCAGGGUUGUCUGAUGAUCCUUCAAUGUCAUGAGAAACAGAAAUUCUUGCAUUCCUUUUUGCAGAGGUUCUUUUGCAACAGAGGGUCUAGUAACUUCAUGGGGUUUGUGAUUGCUCCUGAUAUUGCAUGCAAAAUUUAGCAUGUAUGCAUAUAUGUGAAUUUUAUGGAAGGAGGAGCCAUAUCUUUCAUUAGAAUCUUAAUGAAGUGUAUGAACUCUGCCUGCACCCCCUGACCCCCACCGCCCAAGUCAUAAACCACUGACUCAUCUCCAUUUCAAUGCUCCGUAUUCUAUAGUAAAGCUUCCAUGUGUUCCUCAAAGCCUCACCUUCCCUACCAGGGAUUCUCAAAUGGGAGGGAAAAAAAAAAAAAGAGAGAGGGAGAGGAAAAAAGAAAAGCCUCACCUUCUUCAAGUUCAUCGUCUUGGUCCCAAAAGAACAAAGAGUUUGUUAUGAGCUUAUAGUUUUCCAGUGAUAGGAUGCUCGGAUGCUCCUCUCCACCUCUCUUUCCUUUGUGAUGCUGUAGCUACCCCACCUCUCCUUUGAGAGGUUGUUGUUUGACAUCUGACCAUUGGUAAAUAAAUGAUACAUUACAGAAGGGGAACUCUGCUAACUCCAGCUCGAAUUUCUGUCAUUGAAGCCAUAAUAUCAAUCAUGGAAAUGAAAGGUAAGCUUGAAAAGUGAUGUUCUCUGUAAGUACGCAUCAUACUGUAGAUUUAUGCUUUACAUACUUUCCCGCAUGGGUGUUACAGUUCACAAUAAAAAAAUUUUUAAAGUGC